GGGGGGCGAUCAUAAGAGUAGCUGGGUAUAUCCUAAAUUUUAGAAAAAUUUGAGGAAAAAGAUAUAUUUUUUCUUUUGAGUUUUUAUUUAAUAUAUAAAUUUUAUAUAAAUUUAAGAUUUCUUAAGACGAAUUUGUAUAUAAGCGGAUAAGAUAUUUUACUUAUUCCCAUAUGUAUUUAAUCAUUAUCUUUUUAUGUAAAGUAUAAUUUAAAUUUUUAAAGCAAGUAAGAUUUUAACUAUAUCGGUAAUAGGUGUAAUAAAGAAAAUUAACAUUUUUAGCCGAAAAAUUUAAAUUUUUCGACAUUCGCGCGUUUUUGCGAAAGUCUUUUGUUCAUUUAAUCAUAUUCAAUACGUUAUCAAAAGUAUCUAAUAUAAGUGGGUCUUGGCUCUGUGUGAGACAAUCCUAGGAGGGUGGUUAUAAAAGCUAAUCUUCUGGAAAUUCGUUUCA
rnacentral:rRNA from 1 species